CAGCAGCCGCGGUAAUACGUAGGUGGCAAGCGUUGUCCGGAAUUAUUGGGCGUAAAGGGCUCGCAGGCGGUUUGAUAAGUCAUCUGUGAAAUCCCUGGGCUCAACCCAGAGUCUGCAGGCGAAACUGUCGAGCUUGAGUAUUGGAGAGGUGAGUGGAAUUUCCGGUGUAGCGGUGAAAUGCGUAGAUAUCGGAAGGAACACCUGUGGCGAAAGCGGCUCACUGGACAAUUACUGACGCUGAUGCACGAAAGCUAGGGGAGCAAACAGGAUUAGAUACCCGAGUAGUCCCUGUCUCUUAUAC
rnacentral:rRNA from 1 species